UGGGGAAUUUUGCACAAUGGGGGAAACCCUGAUGCAGCGACGCCGCGUGAUUUAGAAGGCCUUCGGGUUGUAAAAAUCUUUUCUAUGGGAAGAAAAUGACAGUACCAUAGGAAUAAGGACCGGCUAAUUACGUGCCAGCAGCCGCGGUAAUACGUAAGGUCCGAGCGUUGUCCGGAAUCAUUGGGCGUAAAGGGUACGUAGGCGGGUAAGCAAGUUAGAAGUGAAAUCCUAUAGCUCAACUAUAGUAAGCUUUUAAAACUGCUCAUCUUGAGGUAUGGAAGGGAAAGUGGAAUUCCUUGUGUAGCGGUGAAAUGCGCAGAUAUUAGGAGGAAUACCGGUGGCGAAGGCGACUUUCUGGCCAUAACCUGACGCUGAGGUACGAAAGCGUGGGUAGCAAACAGG
rnacentral:rRNA from 1 species